rnacentral:RNase_P_RNA from 1 species
CAGCAACGUGUUCUGUCACUUCCUUUUGCAGAAGGGAAGAGGAAAGUCGGGGCAACACAGGGCGCCAUACUUCCUAACGGGAAGGUUCCGCGGUCGGCGGAAACAGCAAGUGCCACAGAAAAUAACCGUCUCGUCGUAACUUGUUGCGACAAGAUAAGGGUGAAAAUGUGGGGUAAGAGCCCACGGUUCAGGUUGGUGACAAUCUGAGCGGGUAAACCUUAUGGGUUGAAAGACCAAAUAUACCGGAAGGUUCGGCCGCAAGGCAAAACAGGGGGCUGCCCGCUCCUUUCCGGGGGGUAGGUCGUUUGAGCCUGAAGGCAACUUCAGGCCUAGAUAAAUGACAGAAAUUCUGCUUCGGCAGAAAACAGAACCCCGCUUAUAGCGUUGCACGGCAC